rnacentral:siRNA from 1 species
AGAUGAUUUCUCUUGCAUGCAGUC